rnacentral:rRNA from 1 species
UACAGGGGGGGCAAGCGUUGUUCGGAAUUACUGGGCGUAAAGGGCUCGUAGGUGGCCAACUAAGUCAGACGUGAAAUCCCUCAGCUUAACUGGGGAACUGCGUCUGAUACUGGAUGGCUUGAGUUUGGGAGAGGGAUGCGGAAUUCCAGGUGUAGCGGUGAAAUGCGUAGAUAUCUGGAGGAAUACCGGUGGCGAAGGCGGCAUCCUGGACCGGCAUUGACGCUGAGGAGCGAAAGCUAGGGGAGCAAACGGG